GAUGAACGCUGGCGGCGUGCCUAAUACAUGCAAGUCGAACGCUGGAGAUCUAGCUUGCUAGAUCGAAGGAGUGGCGAACGGGUGAGUAAUACAUAAGCAACCUACCCACGAAGACUGGGAUAAUCUCUGGAAACGGGGACUAAUACCGGAUAGGUAAUCGGAAGGCAUCUUCUGGUUAUUAAAGGUUAAAAACACUGGUGGAUGGGCUUAUGGCGCAUUAGUUAGUUGGUGAGGUAACGGCCCACCAAGACGAUGAUGCGUAGCCGGCCUGAGAGGGUGAACGGCCACAUUGGGACUGAGACACGGCCCAGACUCCUACGGGAGGCAGCAGUAGGGAAUUUUCGGCAAUGGGGGCAACCCUGACCGAGCAACGCCGCGUGAGUGAAGACGGCCUUCGGGUUGUAAAGCUCUGUUGUAAGGGAAGAACGGUAGAUAGAGAAUAUCUAAUUGACGGUACCUUACCAGAAAGCCACGGCUAACUACGUG
rnacentral:rRNA from 1 species